rnacentral:rRNA from 1 species
GUACACGGUAGCUUGCUCUGUGGGAUCAGUGGCGAACGGGUGAGUAACACGUGAGCAACCUGCCCCUGACUCUGGGAUAAGCGCUGGAAACGGCGUCUAAUACUGGAUACGAACCGCGAAGGCAUCUUCAGUGGUUGGAAAGAUUUUUUGGUUGGGGAUGGGCUCGCGGCCUAUCAGCUUGUUGGUGAGGUAAUGGCUCACCAAGGCGUCGACGGGUAGCCGGCCUGAGAGGGUGACCGGCCACACUGGGACUGAGACACGGCCCAGACUCCUACGGGAGGCAGCAGUGGGGAAUAUUGCACAAUGGGCGGAAGCCUGAUGCAGCAACGCCGCGUGAGGGAUGACGGCCUUCGGGUUGUAAACCUCUUUUAGCAGGGAAGAAGCGAAAGUGACGGUACCUGCAGAAAAAGCGCCGGCUAACUACGUGCCAGCAGCCGCGGUAAUACGUAGGGCGCAAGCGUUAUCCGGAAUUAUUGGGCGUAAAGAGCUCGUAGGCGGUUUGUCGCGUCUGCUGUGAAAUCCCGAGGCUCAACCUCGGGCCUGCAGUGGGUACGGGCAGACUAGAGUGCGGUAGGGGAGAUUGGAAUUCCUGGUGUAGCGGUGGAAUGCGCAGAUAUCAGGAGGAACACCGAUGGCGAAGGCAGAUCUCUGGGCCGUAACUGACGCUGAGGAGCGAAAGGGUGGGGAGCAAACAGGCUUAGAUACCCUGGUAGUCCACCCCGUAAACGUUGGGAACUAGUUGUGGGGUCCAUUCCACGGAUUCCGUGACGCAGCUAACGCAUUAAGUUCCCCGCCUGGGGAGUACGGCCGCAAGGCUAAAACUCAGAGGAAUUGACGGGGACCCGCACAAGCGGCGGAGCAUGCGGAUUAAUUCGAUGCAACGCGAAGAACCCUUACCAAGGCUUGACAUAUACGAGAACGGGGCCAGAAAUGGUCAACUCUUUGGACACUCGUAAACAGG